GACGAACGCUGGCGGCGUGCUUAACACAUGCAAGUCGAACGAAGUGGCGAACGGGUGAGUAACGCGUAAUCAACCUGCCCUUCAGAGGGGGACAACAGUGGGAAACGACUGCUAAUACCGCAUACGGAAGGAGGGGAUUGCGUCUGAUUAGCUAGUUGGAGGGUUAACGGCCCACCAAGGCGAUGAUCAGUAGCCGAUCUGAUGUGAUGAACGGGCAAAUUGGGACCUAGGAACGGACCAGAUUCCUACGGGAGGGAGAAGUGGGGAAUCUUCCGCAAUGGACGAAAUUCUGACGGGGCAACGCCGCGGGAGUGAUGACGGCCUUCGGGUUGUAAAUCUCUGUUAAUCGGGACGCGGUACCGAAAUAGAAAGCCACGGCUAACUACGUGCCAGCCGCCGCGGUAAUAC
rnacentral:rRNA from 1 species